rnacentral:rRNA from 1 species
AUGCAGCGGGAGAUAUGCAUGGAGGAGCGGGUCUCACCGGAGGCAGAGCGCGGCGAGGCGGCCGUGGGCGCGGCCGCUGGCCGGGUCGAGCCGGACGGCCUCCUCGCAGUCGCGGAGGGCCUCGGCGAGGCGGCCCAGCCCGGUGAGCGCGGCGGCGCGGUUGCCCCGGCACGCGGCGCUGUCCGGGCAGAGCGCCAGGGCGCGGUCGUAGUGCCGCAGCGCCUCGCCGUACCGGCCCUGCUUGUACAGCUCGUUCCCGGCCCGGGUGACCUCCUGCAGGCUGUCCGGCGGCGCCGGGAAGCUCGCCGGGGCCCUCGAGGAUCUGCCGGCGAGCGGCGCGGCGUCAAUGCCACCGCUCCUCGCGGGGGCCAUGCCGCCCCGCAUGAUGCUGCCGUGGCCGUAGUGGCCGGUGCCGGAUCCGAGCACGUCCGGGCGCGCGCGGGGCCGGGGCGCGGCCGGCGCCGGCGCGACGCGGCCAGACGAGCAGAUGUUGCCGGUGGGGAGCGCAUUGGUGAGCGGCGAGCUGGCCGUGCUCCCGCCGCCGCCGCCCCCUCCACCGCCCCCCGAGCUGCCGCUUCCGCCGGAGAAAAUCAGCGGCCCGGAUCCGGAGCGCCGGUGCCCGGGCGGCCGCGGCGGGUUGCUGCUGGCGCUGCCGCUGCCGCUCUCCGCCGCCAGCUCGCCCGAGUGGCUCCCCCUCCCGCUCACGCUCCGAGCACCGCCGCCCCUCCCGCCCGCCGCCGCCGCAUUGCACAGAGCCGGCGACUUGGCGGACCCGGCGGAGGACGACGACGACGACGGCGUGGCCCGCAGCCGCAGCGGCGAGACCGGCGAGCCGAGAUCCGCGAACACGUCCCGCUUGGAGUCCGGCUUGUCCCUGUCCACGCCCCCGCCCGCCUCAAGCGUCAGCCGGCGAACCCGGUCGGCCUCCGACGACGCCAUGGCCACUCGCUCACCACCAGCGCCACCCCCUCACUAACCAAGCAGGCAUGCAAGAACUCGCCCGACCGAGCUAGCUAG